AUGCAAGUCGAACGGUAGAGGAGCAAUCCUUGAGAGUGGCGAACGGGUGAGUAAUACAUCGGAACGUGCCCAGUCGUGGGGGAUAACGUAGCGAAAGCUACGCUAAUACCGCAUACGACCUGAGGGUGAAAGCGGGGGACCGUAAGGCCUCGCGCGAUUGGAGCGGCCGAUGGCAGAUUAGGUAGUUGGUGGGGUAAAGGCCCACCAAGCCUGCGAUCUGUAGCUGGUCUGAGAGGACGACCAGCCACACUGGGACUGAGACACGGCCCAGACUCCUACGGGAGGCAGCAGUGGGGAAUUUUGGACAAUGGGCGAAAGCCUGAUCCAGCCAUACCGCGUGCGGGAAGAAGGCCUUCGGGUUGUAAACCGCUUUUGUCAGGGAAGAAAUACUUCGGGCUAAUACCCUGGGGUGAUGACGGUACCUGAAGAAUAAGCACCGGCUAACUACGUGCCAGCAGCCGCGGUAAUACGUAGGGUGCAAGCGUUAAUCGGAAUUACUGGGCGUAAAGCGUGCGCAGGCGGUUCUAUAAGACAGAUGUGAAAUCCCCGGGCUCAACCUGGGAACUGCAUUUGUGACUGUAGAGCUAGAGUACGGUAGAGGGGGAUGGAAUUCCGCGUGUAGCAGUGAAAUGCGUAGAUAUGCGGAGGAACACCGAUGGCGAAGGCAAUCCCCUGGACCUGUACUGACGCUCAUGCACGAAAGCGUGGGGAGCAAACAGGAUUAGAUACCCUGGUAGUCCACGCCCUAAACGAUGUCAACUGGUUGUUGGGAGGGUUUCUUCUCAGUAACGAAGCUAACGCGUGAAGUUGACCGCCUGGGGAGUACGGCCGCAAGGUUGAAAGUCAAAGGAAUUGACGGGGACCCGCACAAGCGGUGGAUGAUGUGGUUUAAUUCGAUGCAACGCGAAAACCUUACCCACCUUUGACAUGUACGGAAUUCGCCAGAGAUGGCUUAGUGCUCGAAAGAGAGCCGUAACACAGGUGCUAGAU
rnacentral:rRNA from 1 species